GCAGAGCAUCCUACGGGAGGCAGCAGUGGGGAAUAUUGCACAAUGGGCGCAAGCCUGAUGCAGCCAUGCCGCGUGUAUGAAGAAGGCCUUCGGGUUGUAAAGUACUUUCAGCAGUGAGGAAGGUGGGGUAUGUUAAUAGCAUACUCAUUUGACGUUAGCUGCAGAAGAAGCACCGGCUAACUCCGUGCCAGCAGCCGCGGUAAUACGGGAGGGUGCGAGCGUUAAUCGGAAUUACUGGGCGUAAAGCGCAUGCAGGUGGUUUGUUAAGUCAGAUGUGAAAGCCCGGGGCUCAACCUCGGAAUUGCAUUUGAAACUGGCAAACUAGAGUACUGUAGAGGGGGUAGAAUUUCAGGUGUAGCGGUGAAAUGCGUAGAGAUCUGAAGGAAUACCGGUGGCGAAGGCGGCCCCCUGGACAGAUACUGACACUCAGAUGCGAAAGCGUGGGGAGCAAACAGGAUUAGAUACCCUGGUAG
rnacentral:rRNA from 1 species